rnacentral:rRNA from 1 species
AAUUUCCUACGGGGCGCAGCAGUAGGGAAUCUUCCACAAUGGGCGAAAGCCUGAUGGAGCAACGCCGCGUGGGUGAAGAAGGUCUUCGGAUCGUAAAACCCUGUUGUUAGUGAAGAAAGUGCGUAAGAGUAACUGUUCACGUUUCGACGGUAUCUAACCAGAAAGCCACGGCUAACUACGUGCCAGCAGCCGCGGUAAUACGUAGGUGGCAAGCAUUAUCCGGAUUUAUUGGGCGUAAAGGGAACGCAGGCGGUCUUUUAAGUCUGAUGUGAAAGCCUUCGGCUUAACCGGAGUAGUGCAUUGGG